UGGCGACCGGCGCACGGGUGAGUAACACGUAUCCAACCUGCCGAUAACUCGGGGAUAGCCUUUCGAAAGAAAGAUUAAUAUCCGAUAGGAUAUCAAGAUCGCAUGAUCUUGAUAUUAAAGAAUUUCGGUUAUCGAUGGGGAUGCGUUCCAUUAGUUAGUGGCGGGGUAACGGCCCACCAAGACGACGAUGGAUAGGGGUUCUGAGAGGAAGGUCCCCCACAUUGGAACUGAGACACGGUCCAAACUCCUACGGAAGGCAGCAG
rnacentral:rRNA from 1 species